AGCUCCAUUAGCGUAUAUUAAAGUUGUUGCAGUUAAAAAGCUCGUAGUUGGAUUUCAGUACGGGCCAGUCGGUCGGCCGCAAGGCCUGCUACUGGCUGGUCUGUUCUUCUUCUCAAAGACUGCGUGUGCUCUUCGCUGAGUGUGCGUAGGAUUUGGGACGUUUACUUUGAAAAAAUUAGAGUGUUCAAGGCAGGCUUGUAAGCUUGAAUACAUGAGCAUGGAAUAAUAGAAUAGGACUUUGGCCUCUUCUGUUGGUCUGAGGGGUUAAAGUAAUGAUUAAUAGGGAUAGUUGGGGGCAUUAGUACUUAACUGUCAGAGGUGAAAUUCUCGGAUUUGUUAAAGACUGUCUUAUGCGAAAGCAUUUGCCAAGGAUGUUUUCAUUAAUCAAGAACGAAAGUAG
rnacentral:rRNA from 1 species